CCUACGGGAGGCAGCAGUGGGGGCUAUUGCACAAUGGGGGGAACCCUGAUGCAGCGACGCCGCGUGGGUGAAGAAGCGCCUCGGCGCGUAAAGCCCUGUCAGCAGGGAAGAAAAUGACGGUACCUGAAGAAGAAGCCCCGGCUAACUACGUGCCAGCAGCCGCGGUAAUACGUAGGGGGCAAGCGUUAUCCGGAUUUACUGGGUGGAAAGGGGGCGCAGACGGCGAUGCAAGCCAGGAGUGAAAGCCCGGGGCCCAACCCCGGGAAUGCUCUUGGAACUGCGUGGCUGGAGUGCAGGAGGGGCAGGCGGAAUUCCUGGUGUAGCGGUGAAAUGCGUAGAUAUCAGGAGGAACACCGGUGGCGAAGGCGGCCUGCUGGACUGCAACUGACGUUGAGGCCCGAACGCGUGGGGAGCAAACAGGAUUAGAUACCCGAGUAGUC
rnacentral:rRNA from 1 species